UCUGUCCGAAGGUUGUGUCUUUGUUGAAGAUGAUGUUUAGCAUUUUAGCAUUCAAGACUCUUCAGACAUGGAUUGUGAGAACGCCCGGCCUGAGAAAUUUACAACAGAGUGAAUGGAGGCGAAUGCACCUGCUUAAGGAGAGGAAGGCAGAUCACCAAAGGCAGCAGGAGUCCUGUGGUGAGGACGGGGUGAGUAACUGGGCCUAACUGGUUGGAUGAAACCCCAUCCGUACUGGGCCUUUUCCAUACCAGAUUCCAAUUUUUUUUUAAAAAAAUUAAAUUUCGGCACUGACAUUUCUUAGUGACUCUCCUACAUAGGUUGGGAGAAGUUAAGAAGAAAGCCAGAAGAAGCUCUACAUUCGUCACAUGCACUUUAGUAAGGGCAGGGUCAGCCCCUUGAUCAUUUCAGUUUCCCUCUGCUGCACCGAUUGCAGUUCAACAGUAUUCCUUUUUUUUUGCAAUCUGUUGACCAGAAUGAUAAAGAGUAGGUAUCCCAACUGUGGCAAUCCAUAGUCCAGGGCAGCACCACUCCGGCCCUCCUGUAGAAGUUUGACUACAAUUCCCAUUAUCCCUGACUACCGGCCACUGUGGAAGUCAUCCUAACUUCAACUGACUUGGAUGUAUGUCUUUUUGCAUUAACUUGAAUUCUUUUCCAAGCUAUUCCAACCAGAGAUGCACAUCCCUAGUUGUCAGCGUCGCCAGAGUUUUCCAGAGGCCUCUCCUUUUUAAAGACUUCUGCUGCUUGGUCAGAAUGUUAGAUCUGGAAAACAGCGUUGGAGAGAAGGACAGCGCACUCCAUCCAUCGGAGCUCUUUUUACCUCAAAGAUAUUGUCCUUAUUAUUGUUAUUGCUGUUGUUGUUGUUACUGCAACUUUUAAGAGUGACGCAUGCAUGCCAUAUCUCUGUUUCUCUGUCCUGAUCCGUUCAAUCAAUUCUGUUCAGUGAUUAUUUUCUAUUUAGCGGAUUGGGGGGAGCAACUGUCCCCAUUCCGGGGUUGUUGCUGGGGUCUACCACCUUCCUUUUUAGAUUGCGAGCCCUUUGGGAGCCGUCUUUCAUAUUUUAUCUAAGUAAACUGCUUGGAGAUGGAAGGGGAGCUGAAAAGGCUGGAGAACAGCAGAGACACUCCCAAGGCUGGCUUCUACGAAUCCUUCGGUGGACUUCAUUCUCCCCAUGACUCCGAUGACAGCAGCAAUGGACUGAGAGAGAACCUACAUUAGUCAGUCAUUCAGUCAUGUUUAUUUACGGUCAUAGACCAAAAUAGAACCUACAUUACGUGUUCAGGACUACAGAAAUCCCCCUCCCCUUGGCCUCGUGAAGAGGGGAGGGAGUGUGUCCCAGCCCCGCUCUGCACGAGGCCCAAGAAGCGGGCCGAUUGGCCCUUUGGGUUAGGGGGUGGGGUUUCGGCCGGGAUCGGCCGAUCCCCGCCCCGUUCUCCUCAGUUUUGGCCAGGCAUUCCCCUCCCUCCCUCCCUGGUACAGAGCGGGUCUAGCGACUGGUCGCCCAACAGGGCCGAGUAGGAAUUUUUUGCUCCCAACGCAUUGGCCACUGUUGGGGUUUUUUUCGCCUACUCCGUUCUGUGUUCCAGGUGUGUAGUUAGAGUUAGGCUGGUCACAAUGGCAGUAACAGUGCGGGCGGGGUGGUAAUUCGAGGGUUAGAACAUCGGUGAGCACCCUUGGAUAUUUAAAAGGGUGAUUGGUCAAUCGCUCCUUUGUGGCCUGUGCGGCACGGGGAGAAUGGAUUGCCAUGAAACCUGCUUCAGGACUUCACCCACCUUUGGGCUGAGCGGUCCGGGGUGGGCGAAGACCUUGAAGUAUCCAGAUCCUCUCUUACGAAAGGGGGGUUGGCUUUGAAGGAAGUGGGCGGGGCGUACCUGCCCAUUUCCUGAGCCAGGGUGUGUCGCCCAGUAAGGUGCUGGGUAGGACGUCAGAGUUCUAACCCGGUCCUCUUGGCCUGCACUGUUCUCUAAGGGUGAUUAAUCACCUGGUGUUCCAGUCCGCCAUGUCUUUUGUUACAGUUAAUAAAGUUGUGGCCCUUUUACCCAUA